rnacentral:rRNA from 1 species
UCUCUAGUGACCGAUAGUGAACCAGUACCGUGAGGGAAAGGUGAAAAGCACCCCGGAAGGGGAGUGAAAUAGAACCUGAAACCGUGUGCUUACAAGUAGUCAGAGCCCGUUAAUGGGUGAUGGCGUGCCUUUUGUAGAAUGAACCGGCGAGUUACGAUUUGAUGCAAGGUUAAGCAGUAAAUGUGGAGCCGUAGCGAAAGCGAGUCUGAAUAGGGCGUUUAGUAUUUGGUCGUAGACCCGAAACCAGGUGAUCUACCCUUGGUCAGGUUGAAGUUCAGGUAACACUGAAUGGAGGACCGAACCGACUUACGUUGAAAAGUGAGCGGAUGAACUGAGGGUAGCGGAGAAAUUCCAAUCGAACCUGGAGAUAGCUGGUUCUCUCCGAAAUAGCUUUAGGGCUAGCCUCAAGUGAUGAUUAUUGGAGGUAGAGCACUGUUUGGACGAGGGGCCCCUCUCGGGUUACCGAAUUCAGACAAACUCCGAAUGCCAAUUAAUUUAACUUGGGAGUCAGAACAUGGGUGAUAAGGUCCGUGUUCGAAAGGGAAACAGCCCAGACCACCAGCUAAGGUCCCAAAAUAUAUGUUAAGUGGAAAAGGAUGUGGCGUUGCCCAGACAACUAGGAUGUUGGCUUAGAAGCAGCCAUCAUUUAAAGAGUGCGUAAUAGCUCACUAGUCGAGUGACACUGCGCCGAAAAUGUACCGGGGCUAAACAUAUUACCGAAGCUGUGGAUUGUCCUUUGGACAAUGGUAGGAGAGCGUUCUAAGGGCGUUGAAGCAUGAUCGUAAGGACAUGUGGAGCGCUUAGAAGUGAGAAUGCCGGUGUGAGUAGCGAAAGACGGGUGAGAAUCCCGUCCACCGAUUGACUAAGGUUUCCAGAGGAAGGCUCGUCCGCUCUGGGUUAGUCGGGUCCUAAGCUGAGGCCGACAGGCGUAGGCGAUGGAUAACAGGUUGAUAUUCCUGUACCACCUAUAAUCGUUUUAAUCGAUGGGGGGACGCAGUAGGAUAGGCGAAGCGUGCGAUUGGAUUGCACGUCUAAGCAGUAAGGCUGAGUAUUAGGCAAAUCCGGUACUCGUUAAGGCUGAGCUGUGAUGGGGAGAAGACAUUGUGUCUUCGAGUCGUUGAUUUCACACUGCCGAGAAAAGCCUCUAGAUAGAAAAUAGGUGCCCGUACCGCAAACCGACACAGGUAGUCAAGAUGAGAAUUCUAAGGUGAGCGAGCGAACUCUCGUUAAGGAACUCGGCAAAAUGACCCCGUAACUUCGGGAGAAGG